CGAUCUCCUGGCAACGCUGCGGCCCCGCCCACAUCAUGACGCCCGAGGAGAACGCGGGUACCAAACUCUUGCUGCAGGGUUUUGAGAGCCGCUUCCUAGUGGCGCGCACACUGCGCUCCUUCCCCUGGCAGGUGGGCGGCGGGGCGAGCGGAGAGGCCCGCGGGGCUCGCGGAGUCCAGGGGCAGACGGGAUGGGUCUCCGUGCUGAAACCCCCGGCGCUCCUGCCACAGCUUAGAGGCAAAGUUAAGAGACUCAUCAGAUUCUGAGCUGCUGCAGGAUAUUUUGCAGAAGACUGUGAGGCAUCCUGUGUGUGUGAAGCACCCGCCGUCAGUCAAGUAUGCCUGGUGCUUUCUCUCAGAACUCAUCAAAAAGCACGAGGCUGUCCACACGGAGCCUUUGGAUGAGCUGUACGAGGCGCUGGCGGAGACCCUGAUGGCCAAGGAGUCCCCCCAGGGCCACCGGAGCUAUUUGUUGCCCUCGGGAGGCUCGGUCACACUCUCCGAAAGCAUGGCCAUCAUCUCCCACAGCACCACGGGUCUGGUCACAUGGGAUGCCGCCCUCUACAUUGCAGAAUGGGCCAUCGAGAACCCGGCAGCCUUCACUCACAGGUCUGUCUUAGAGCUUGGCAGUGGUGCCAGCCUCACAGGCCUGGCCAUCUGCAAGAUAUGCCGCCCCCGGGCAUACAUCUUCAGCGACUGUCACAGCCGAGUCCUCGAGCAGCUCCAAGGAAAUGUCCUUCUCAAUGGCCUCUCAUUAGAGGCAGACAUCACUGCCAACUUAGACAGCCCUAGGGUGACAAUGGCCCAGCGCUGGACUGGGACGUAGUGACGGUCCAUCAGCGCUCUGCCUUCCAGCUAGAUGUUGUCAUUGCAGCAGAUGUGCUGUAUUGCCCAGAAGCCAUUGUGUCACUGGUCAGGGUCCUGCGGAGGCUGGCUGCCUGCCGGGAGCACCAGCGGGCUUCUGAGGUCUACGUGGCCUUCGCUGUCCGCAAUUGAGAGACGUGCCAGCUGUUCACCACCGAGCUAGAGAAGAGCAGACACUGCCAUGGACCCGUCUCUGUCCCUGCCACAUGGCCCCAGGCCCAAGACACUCCCCCUAGGAGGGAUCCUUUUCCCAGAAGCUCCACCCCUCGGCAGCUCCAGUCAGGCCCCAUCUGGGCCCUUCCAGAAGCAACCCAGGAGCCCCGAGACCUGCAGGGGUGUGUGCACCCUGACCCCUGAUGCAUAGCCCUGCACCUGCAGCCAGCUGGCCUCGGGCUGCAAACAUGGUGGGGUAAGCACUGGCCUGGCACCUGACCACCCACUGGGUGGACCCAGCCUUCUGUCUGUGUUGUGCACAGGGGACACGAGGACUCCCCCUGCCCUGCCGCAGCCCCCAGAGCACAUGGUGCGGGUUCCAAUCCGCGCCUGCCCUGCCACAGCCUCCAGAGCACAUGGCGCGCUUUCCAAACCACUCCUGGGAGCCUAGAGGCCAGAGGAGGGAGGAGAGCAGGACCAGCAGCUGGCCCAGACCCCGCCUCUUCCUACACCACUUCCGCUUUUCUCCCUCCUCACUGAGUCAUCUUGAAAGGGCUCAGCAGCAGUAACUGUGGGACAGGGGCUCUUCCAUUUGAAAAAUUAAAAGAGGCUUGGUUAAGGCACCAA